UGAAGGAAGAGGAGAUGGAGGGAUGACGGGAUGACGGAAGAGGAGAUGGAGGGAUGACGGGAUGAAGGAAGAAUGUGAAUGUGAAUUCUUCACAUUCCCAGUUAAUGUGUAUCGUUUCCUUUAAUCUGUGGGCUUCAGCCUACAUUAUGUCUGGCUUGUGGUGGUGCAUUAUACAUGAGACGGUCAUUAGUGGUUAGGUUAGCCACAGCUCUGUAACACUGUCACAGGUGUCCCUGUGCUAACUGGGUAUCCUACAUUAUGUCUGGUUAGGUUAGCCACAGCUCUGUAACACUGUCACAGGUGUCCCUGUGCUAACUGGGUAUCCUACAUUAUGUCUGGUUAGGUUAGCCACAGCUCUGUAACACUGUCACAGGUGUCCCUGUGCUAACUGGGUAUCCUACAUUAUGUCUGGUGUCCCUGUGCUAACUGGGUAUCCUACAUUAUGUCUGGUUAGGUUAGCCACAGCUCUGUAACACUGUCACAGGUGUCCCUGUGCUAACUGGGUAUCCUACAUUAUGUCUGGUUAGGUUAGCCACAGCUCUGUAACACUGUCACAGGUGUCCCUGUGCUAACUGGGUAUCCUACAUUAUGUCUGGUUAGGUUAGUCACAGCUCUGUAACACUGUCACAGGUGUCCCUGUGCUAACUGGGUAUCCUACAUUAUGUCUGGUUAGGUUAGUCACAGCUCUGUAACACUGUCACAGGUGUCCCUGUGCUAACUGGGUAUCCUACAUUAUGUCUGGUUAGGUUAGCCACAGCUCUGUAACACUGUCACAGGUGUCCCUGUGCUAACUGGGUAUCCUACAUUAUGUCUGGUUAGGUUAGCCACAGCUCUGUAACACUGUCACAGGUGUCCCUGUGCUAACUGGGUAUCCUACAUUAUGUCUGGUUAGGUUAGUCACAGCUCUGUAACACUGUCACAGGUGUCCCUGUGCUAACUGGGUAUCCUACAUUAUGUCUGGUUAGGUUAGCCACAGCUCUGUAACACUGUCACAGGUGUCCCUGUGCUAACUGGGUAUCCUACAUUAUGUCUGGUUAGGUUAGUCACAGCUCUGUAACACUGUCACAGGUGUCCCUGUGCUAACUGGGUAUCCUACAUUAUGUCUGGUUAGGUUAGCCACAGCUCUGUAACACUGUCACAGGUGUCCCUGUGCUAACUGGGUAUCCUACAUUAUGUCUGGUUAGGUUAGCCACAGCUCUGUAACACUGUCACAGGUGUCCCUGUGCUAACUGGGUAUCCUACAUUAUGUCUGGUUAGGUUAGCCACAGCUCUGUAACACUGUCACAGGUGUCCCUGUGCUAACUGGGUAUCCUACAUUAUGUCUGGCUUGUGGUGGUGCAUUAUACAUGAGACGGUCAUUAGUGGUUAGGUUAGCCACAGCUCUGUAACACUGUCACAGGUGUCCCUGUGCUAACUGGGUAUCCUACAUUAUGUCUGGUUAGGUUAGCCACAGCUCUGUAACACUGUCACAGGUGUCCCUGUGCUAACUGGGUAUCCUACAUUAUGUCUGGUUAGGUUAGCCACAGCUCUGUAACACUGUCACAGGUGUCCCUGUGCUAACUGGGUAUCCUACAUUAUGUCUGGUUAGGUUAGCCACAGCUCUGUAACACUGUCACAGGUGUCCCUGUGCUAACUGGGUAUCCUACAUUAUGUCUGGUUAGGUUAGCCACAGCUCUGUAACACUGUCACAGGUGUCCCUGUGCUAACUGCCGGGCCGUAUCCUACAGUUGUG